rnacentral:misc_RNA from 1 species
UACGGAGGGGGCAAGCGUUAUCCGGAAUCAUUGGGUUUAAAGGGUCCGUAGGCGGGUCGAUAAGUCAGUGGUGAAAGUCUGCAGCUCAACUGUAGAAUUGCCAUUGAUACUGUUAACCUUGAGUUAUUAUGAAGUGGUUAGAAUAUGUAGUGUAGCGGUGAAAUGCAUAGGUAUUACAUAGAAUACCGAUUGCGCAGGCAGAUCACUAAUAAUUUACUGACGCCGAGGGACGAAAGCGUAGGUAGCGAACAGG